UGCUAGGCGCGCCAGUCUUCCGAAUUGACUGGGACGCCCACAGAUACCUGUGUAUCCUGAUCAAUAAAAAUACUCUUGCAGAUUGCAGCCUGUGGACUCGGUCUGGUCACUGGGCUUGAGGAUCUCCCUCCUGAGGGAAGAUUCUCUCUGAGAGUCUUACAUUAUGGAGGCUCGUCCGGGAUCGGAGAUCCUCUGCCUAGAGACCACCGACCACCCACCGGAAGAAGCUGUCCUGAAGAGAGAAGAUACCAAGCUACUUUUCCAGUAGGCAAAAUCUAUGAAAUCCUUGCCAGCCACUGUAGCUGGGAACUGGGCUACAAACCUGUGAAGGAGUUUGAACAAGUUUAUUUCCUUGCUCAGUUGAGAAAAGACCCUGGAGUAGGCACAUGGUCCGAUGGGACAGAAAACAAGAAAACAGGGGCACGGACAGCUUCUUCCUCCACACCUUCUGAAAGGGUUUUCUGAUCAGCAUUUCUAACAGUGUGCACAUUUUUCAUGUCCCUUUAAGGUGUGCUUCAUGAUGCAUAGAGUCUCUAUGCUCACCUGAGAUCUCUAGCCCUCCACAGACUGGUUCUGGGUGUGUCGCUGCCAUUGAUCAUGCUUUAUUCAUGAUGGUUGACUCACUUGCCACACUUAGUCUCAAACAAAUUUAUUAAAGCCUGAUCCUUUAAAAACCAAA